rnacentral:rRNA from 1 species
GAUGAACGCUAGCGAUAGGCCUAACACAUGCAAGUCGAGGGGCAUCACAUGAAGUAGCAAUACGGAUGGUGGCGACCGGCGCACGGGUGAGUAACACGUAUGCAACCUGCCUUCAACAAGGGGAUAACCCGUUGAAAGACGGACUAAUACCCUAUAACACAGGGGUCCCGCAUGGGAAUAUUUGUUAAAGGACAACCGGUUGAAGAUGGGCAUGCGUUCCAUUAGCUAGUUGGCGGGGUAACGGCCCACCAAGGCAACGAUGGAUAGGGGAACUGAGAGGUUUAUCCCCCACACUGGUACUGAGACACGGACCAGACUCCUACGGGAGGCAGCAGUGAGGAAUAUUGGUCAAUGGACGCAAGUCUGAACCAGCCACGUCGCGUGAAGGAAGAAGGCCUCGGUUGUAAGCUCUUUCGACGGAAGAAAUCGCCGCCUCUAACCAUAGGCGGUGGAUGACGGUACCGUAAGAAGAAGCACCGGCAACUACGUGCCAGCAGCCG